rnacentral:rRNA from 1 species
UACGUAGGGUGCAAGCGUUAAUCGGAAUUACUGGGCGUAAAGCGUGCGCAGGCGGCUUUGCAAGACAGAUGUGAAAUCCCCGGGCUUAACCUGGGAACUGCAUUUGUGACUGCAUGGCUAGAGUGCGGCAGAGGGGGAUGGAAUUCCGCGUGUAGCAGUGAAAUGCGUAGAUAUGCGGAGGAACACCGAUGGCGAAGGCAAUCCCCUGGGCCUACACUGACGCUCAUGCACGAAAGCGUGGGGAGCAAACAGG